rnacentral:tRNA from 1 species
GGAGCUGUGGUGUAGAGGCCUAACAUGCCUGUCACGCAGGAGACCGCGGGUUCGAAUCCCGUCGGCUCCGCCA